UGGCGUCCAUGAUGUUGCACAGUUGUACCUACAUUGUUUGAUCCUCAUGAGAACAGCAUUGGCUGAGACGCUG
ensembl:snoRNA SNORD34 Small nucleolar RNA SNORD34